CAGCAGUCAGACAGUGUGAGAUAAGUUUCAUUGUCAAAAGGGAAACAGCCCAGACCUACAGCUAAGGUCCCAAAUGUAUGCUAAGUGGAAAACGAUGUGGAGUUGCGAAAACAACCAGGAUGUUGGCUUAGAAGCAGCCACUCAUUAAAAGAGUGCGUAAUAGCUCACUGGUCGAGUGACCCUGCGCCGAAAAUUCAACGGGGCUAAACAAUGUACCGAAGCUUGGGAUUCUAAAGUAAUUUAGAGUGGUAGGAGAGCGUCGAAUAAGGGGUGAAGUCAGAGCGGAAGCGCUGGUGGACUUUAUUCGAGUGAGAAUGCCGGAAUGAGUAGCGAGAAUUAUGUGAGAAUCAUAAUGGCCGAAAAUCUAAGGUUUCCUGAGGAAGGUUCGUCCGCUCAGGGUAAGCCGGGGGCUAAGGCGAGGCGGAGACGCGUAGCCGAUGCACAUACGGUUGAAAUUCCGUAGCCACCGAAAGAUUUAAGUACAGGGACGCUUUAGAAGUGAUGUAGCCGGGCGAUGGUUGACCCGGUCGUAAGGGAUCGAAAAUGAGUAGAGAAGUCAUCAUGGAAAGAGACAAGAAAAGCUGUAUGGAUAUCUUAGGUGCCCGUACCGCAAACCGACACAGGUAGAUAGGAAGAAGAUUCUAAGGCCAACGGGAGAAGGGUUGUUAAGGAACUCGGCAAGUUGACCCCGUAACUUCGGGAUAAGGGGUGCUCUGGAGACAGAGCCGCAGAGAAUAGGUCCAGGCGACUGUUUAGCAAAAACACAGGUCUCUGCUAAAUCGAAAGAUGACGUAUAGGGGCUGACACCUGCCCGGUGCCGGAAGGUUAAGAGGAGAUGUGAGAGCAUUGAAUUGAAGCCCCGGUAAACGGCGGCCGUAACUAUAACGGUCCUAAGGUAGCGAAAUUCCUUGUCAGGUAAGUUCUGACCCGCACGAAAGGCGUAAUGAUUUGGGCACUGUCUCAACAGCCCGCCCGGCGAAAUUGUAGUACUGGUGAAGAUGCCAGUUACCCGCAACUAGACGGAAAGACCCCAUGGAGCUUUACUGCAGCUUAAUACUGGAAUUCGGUAAAUCAUGUACAGGAUAGGUGGGAGACUGGGAAGCAUUGGCGUCAGCCAGUGUGGAGUCGCUGGUGGGAUACCACUCUUGAUUUGCUGGGUUUCUAACCUGCGGCCGUGAAUCCGGUCGGGGGACACUGUUAGGCGGGCAGUUUGACUGGGGCGGUCGCCUCCAAAAGAGUAACGGAGGCGCUCAAAGGU
rnacentral:rRNA from 1 species